UUAGCUGUACAAAACUUAAACAGUUUUCGUAAAUGCAUUUCAGAGAAAAGUGAAUUCUGAGAUUUGAAUAAUGCAUCUGACGUGUGUGUGAUGACGUCACGACGCACGUAUUUUGAUUUUUACCAGUCGUUCAAGGCGGACGGAUUCAGUCCCAAGAAGCUAAAGUUUUUCAAAGACAUUUGUAGGGAGGACUUUGCAGCUAAUGGAGCUGAAGUAUUUUAUGUAAGGAGGAUUUUGCAGCCCAUAUAGAUUUCCUUAGGCUGAACCAAAACCUGCCAGACUAAAGUUGAUUUGGGAGAGAAAGACGUUGUAAACUCAAUCAUCUUGACAUUCUUCAAUGAGUAAUUGUUCAAUUUUUAGGCAAAUACUGUACACUUUGAAUGCUGUGAAUAAAACUAUAUUUUAAAUAUAUUUAAAAUGAA